ACUAGGUUGCCAAAACUAUGUGACCCUACGCAGUAGAUCAAUACUUAUGACAGAAUCAAAAGAUUGAAUUACUCAGUGUGCUAAUUUGCUUCCUGAUUUGAAAUAGAAGUACCCUUGCCCACCUACCUUCCGACUUCUGACUGGAUGAAUCCACAAACAGGGGAGUUUCGGAGCGGCAAAGGCUCUUCAAUCACACAAGCACUUGAACUCAAGCGGGGUAUAUAUCCGGAUGGUCGACAAGGCACCUCCUACUAACGGGAGCUAACCGCUAAACUAUCUGUAAAGUACUGCACUGUGCUUGCGGGCCAAAAGCUGCGAGUCAAGGCCCGGAGAGUCAUAGCUUUGCAGGCUCCCACUCCAAAUGCGCUCUUACUUCGUGCCGAAGCA
rnacentral:sRNA from 2 species